rnacentral:rRNA from 1 species
AUGACCGAUGCAUGGACAGAUAAGAAAGGCAGAGGAGUAAUGAACCUAGUUGUUCACAGCGCACAUGGGGUCUUCUUUACGGAUUCGGUUGAUUGCUCGGAUCAAAAAAAGGGGAAAUACAUCUAUGAGCUUGUAGACAGGUGUAUUGAAGAUAUAGGGCCAGAAAAGGUUGUCCAAGUGGUGACUGACAAUGCUAGUGUUAAUACAGCAGCUGCAAGUCUAAUGAAAGCAAAGAGACCAAACAUUUUUCCUGGAUGUGCAGCCCAUUGUAUUGAUCUCAUGUUGGAAGAUAUUGGGAAGCUGCCUCUAGUUGAGAAAACAAUUGUCCAAGCUAGGCAAGUUACUGUGUUCUUGUAUGCUCAUACGAUGGUUUUGGCUUUGAUGAGGAAAACACUUGGAAGAGACUUGGUCCGUGCUGGUGUUACUAGAUUUGCCACGGCUUAUCUCAAUCUAAAAAGUUUGCAAGACAACAAGAAGGAGUUGCUUAAACUAUUCAGAUCAGAGGAGCUAAAUGACAUGGGGUACUUAAAGAAGGACAAUGGUAAGAAGGCUCUAAAAGUUGUGCAAACUGAUUCCUUUUGGAAAGGUGUUGACACUGCUGUCAAUUUCUUUGAGCCAAUGGCUAAUGUGCUGAGAAGGAUGGAUAGUGAUGUGCCAACGAUGGGUGUCUUCCAUGGUUGUAUGCUAGAUGCAAAAAAGGAAAUCUCUUUGAGGUUUGACAAUGAUGAGAGUCGUUUCAAAGCUGUUAUAGAUAUCAUUGACAAGAGGUGGGACAACAAACUCAAGAUGCCACUACAUUUGGCUGGGUACUUUCUCAAUCCCUACUAUUACUAUCCAAACAAGAAUGCGAUUGAGAAUGAUGGAUCAUUCAGAGCAGCCGUUAUCCAUUGCAUUACAAGGAUGAUUCAAGAUAAGACGUUGCAAGAGGAGAUUAUGGAUGAACUCAACAUGUAUGAAGAAGAGGCUCAGUCUUUUAGAACAGACAUUGCCACACGGCAGAGAAGAAACAAAAAUUUUGAUCCAGGUUAG